rnacentral:lncRNA from 1 species
AGAGAGAGAGAGAGAGAGAGAGAGAGAGAGAGAGAGAGAGAGAGAAGGAGAGAGAGAGAAGGAGAGAGAGAGAGACAUUUUACUAGAAUACUACUGUCCUAGACGUUCAACUGAAUCAAAUCCUAAUGCAUGUCAAACAAGCACUAGUAUGAAGCUGUGCCCACAGUCCCUUUUACUAUAUUUAAAAACACAUACAUGUGUCUAUGUGUCUAUGUACUUCAGCUAGACGCUUUUCUCUGUCAUGUUAACCUGAAGAGAAAAAAAAAAAAAAAAAAAAAACAAGAAGAAACCAGGCGAGUAGAUAAUCCAUCUGCUUUUCUUCCGUUACUCAGAAAUGUAGACCAAACACACAUGAAAUAACUAUGAGGAAAUUAACUUUUUUUUUCCUAUCUGGAAUAUCUAGAUUAUCGGGCAAAUGACACGAUCCCUCCAACCAUCCCAUACAACCAGUCCUAUGACCAGAACACAGGAGGGUCUUAUAACAGCUCAGAUCGGGGCAGUAGUACAUCCGGUAAGUAAAACACACACAGGAAAGUGUCGGCCUUUUCUCUUGAAAAGAGAUGAUGGAGGGAGGAUGGGAUAGGGGGGGUUCCAGGAUUGGGUGUGUGUGUGGGGGGGGCUGGUAAAGGGGAUAAUUCUUGAAAUCUAAAUAAAGAAAAUAUCCAAUUUAAAGGGGGAGAGGGGGGCAGUGAUGAGCAGAGUGCUAAUCAGCUGUGUACCACAAAUCAUCACCUUGUAUCAUAGGAGUCCCAGACACAGGUCUGGUCUGCAGUCUGAUGCACCACCCGCCCAAUAAACUACUUCCUAUCCUACUUGGCAUCAAAUAUCAAGCGUUCUGUUUCCUUCUUUGAUACUGAGAUUUAGCAACGUCAAAAGGACAAAAUACUUUUCCAAGGCAGUUAAACUUCUUUUCCUUCCCUUAUUCAGAACACAGCCCCAAAGAGUACAUAUGUGAUAAAUUUGUUAUGUUACCACUUAGUUCUCUCAAGGAGAAGAAUGCCUGAGGAUCGGUGAUCUGGGGGUGAGGGAUGGCAGAAACCUUAGUCCACAUUCUCUCCGAGGUCUCCCAGUUCUUGCUGGAAAACUUAUAAACUUUCCUCCCAGUAUCAUCCUGUCCUGCCUCAGAAGCCACAGUGAGGCUCCCUUCCCUGUGGUUCGGUGUGCGGCUGCAGCUGUCUGCCAGCUGUUUUCCUGAUAGGCGCUGCAGAUGGGGGUUUGCUGGUAGUUAAGUCCUGUUUUUGUAAUUAAAGGCGGUUGAUUAUUAGAGCUAACAUGUGGCAAGUCACACCACAAUGAGAACGGAGCCAUUGAUCUUAAGUGGAGCAUGUUUCUCCAGAACGGGGAAGAACAGAGCCUCCUGGCAACUGCAGGAGUUGUUGCUAGGGUCUUUGUGCCGGUGAGCUCUGUCCUCUUCUCUAAUGAUGCUCACAUCUGCAGUUACCUCUCUUCCCUUAACAGAGGCACGGUGGUGUGGCAUUCCCUAGCCUGUACUUCAAGGGUUCUUAUGUGAAUUACAGGAGAUGAUUCUUUACCAUUUUAGAUUUUAGUUUUUCAGAUUGUACUAAAUACUCUCUUUUCAAAAUCCUAAAUGAUUUUUCCCUUUUCUUCUUCAAAGUAACGAAAUUUCGUGUUUUGAACAAAAUUUUAUGUGUGUAUUUUUUUUUUGGCGGGGGGGAGGAUCAUCACCAGUAUUUAAGUAUUUGAUUAUGAUAUGUCAUUUUUGUCUUUGAACUCUUAGCUGCUUGUAGAGAAAAGCGUAGGUGAUUGAUUCCCCGUUGGCAUCUACAUCCCUCACUGGCGAUGCCCGAUCUUGAUACUUGUGUUGUCACUGGUUAUUCCACGAAUGGUAAAAGGAUGCUAAAACCACGUGACAUCUGAUGCCCGGUGGCAAAAAGCAAAACACAGGAGUGAAAUUGAGGAGGGGGCUGCAGUGUCCAGCGUCACGGGGCAGAUGCUGUUCUUGGGGAAAAUGUACAUGAGGAGAGGCAGAGGAAGACAAGGGUCAAUUUUCCCUUCACGCCCCAUGCCCCAUAGUCCUCCUAGUACAGGCGACUGAGGACGUGAGAGAGCAUGGAGAUGCUGGGACUGACAGUCAGCGUUUAUUGUUAGCCGUCAGCUUGCCCUUCCAUCCAGUUUGAUGCAAUAGCAGACCAGCCCGAGAACAACUGGUAUGACAAACAGUUCCUGUGACGGAGAAGUCCCAAGUGACUUAAAAACAUUUUAAAGGCUCAUUGAAUAAGCUAAAGCCUGCUUCAUCUCCCAUGGGACUUGUUUCAGAGUCAUAAAGAAACAUUAAAGCAAUUCUGGGAUAUUGGGGGCUCAUAUGAG